UCAGCUCCUUCUCCAGCACCAUGUCUGCCUGCACACCACCAUGCUUCCCACCAUGAAAAUAACGGACUAAGCCUCUGAACUGAGAUUACAGUGGAGAGAGUUCAAAGAAGAGACUUUGAACGUUGGACUUUUAACAAGUUUGAGACUGUAUAGGUUGUGGAGACCUUUGAAGCUGCAGUGAAUGCAUUUCUGCGUUAUGGUAUUGCUGCAAGCUGACAGGGGCCAAGGAGUGGGAUACAGUGGUUUGACCAAGAAUGGCCCCCAUUAACUCAGCGGCAACAUAAAGAGGCGUGGCCUUGUUAAAGGAAGUAUGUCACCAUGGAGGCAGGCUUUGAGGUCUCAUGUGCUCAAGCCAUACCCAGUAGAACAGCCUCUUGCUGCUGCCUGCAGAUCAAGAUGUCCACCUCUCAGCUCCUUCUCUAGUGCCAUGCCACCAUGUCUCCCACUAUGACAGUAAUGGACUCAUGCCGGGAGCCAAGACCAGCUAGUGGAAAGUUACAGACAGCUGCAACAAGGUCAUAGGAACUAGUUGAACUCCUGCUGGAUGGGACAUAAUUGGCGCCCAAAG